rnacentral:rRNA from 1 species
GACAGAGGAGCCAAGCGUUGUCCGGAUUUACUGGGCGUAAAGCGCGCGUAGGCGGUUACUCAAGUCGGAUGUGAAAGCCCUCGGCUUAACUGAGGAAGUGCACCCGAAACUGAGUAGCUAGAGUACCAAAGAGGGUCGCGGAAUUCCCGGUGUAGAGGUGAAAUUCGUAGAUAUCGGGAGGAACACCGGUGGCGAAGGCGGCGACCUGGGUGGAUACUGACGCUGAGGCGCGAAAGCGUGGGGAGCAAACAGG